rnacentral:rRNA from 1 species
AUACGGAGGGGGCUAGCGUUAUUCGGAAUUACUGGGCGUAAAGCGCACGUAGGCGGCGUGAAUAGUUAGAGGUGAAAGCCCCGGGCUCAACCCGGGAAUUGCCUUUAAUACUUUCAUGCUUGAAUACUGGAGAGGGUAGUGGAAUUCCAAGUGUAGAGGUGAAAUUCGUAGAUAUUUGGAAGAACACCAGUGGCGAAGGCGGCUACCUGGACAGAUAUUGACGCUGAGGUGCGAAAGCGUGGGGAGCAAACAGGAUUAGAAACCCUAGUAGUCC